GAUGAAGAACGCAGCGAAAUGCGAUAAGUAAUGUGAAUUGCAGAAUUCAGUGAAUCAUCGAAUCUUUGAACGCACAUUGCGCCCGCCAGUAUUCUGGCGGGCAUGCCUGUCUGAGCGUCAUUUCAACCCUCAGCCCCCGUUCGCGGGGCGCUGGCGUUGGGGAUCGGCCGUCCUUGCGGCGGCCGGCCCCGAAACACAGUGGCGGUCUCCCGUAGACUCCCCUGCGUAGUAACACUACCUCGCAGAAGGGACGAGCGGGCUGGCCACGCCGUAAAACCCCCCACUUCUCAAGGUUGACCUCAGAUCAGGUAGGAAUACCCGCUGAACUUAAGCAUAUCAAUAAGCGGAGGA
rnacentral:misc_RNA from 1 species